rnacentral:rRNA from 1 species
CCCUUAGAUGUUCUGGGCCGCACGCGCGCUACACUGAUGCAUUCAACGAGUCUAAAACCUGCUCUGAUAGGGGUGGGUAAUCUUUUGAAUGUGCAUCGUGAUUGGGAUAGAUGAUUGCAAUUUUUCAUCUUCAACGAGGAAUGCCUAGUAAACGCAAGUCAUCAGCUUGCAUUGAUUACGUCCCUGCCCUUUGUACACACCGCCCGUCGCUCCUACCGAUUGAAUGAUCCGAUGAAUAUCAUGGGUUGAGGAUGCAAGUAGGUUCGCCUAUCUUCAUCUUCGAGAAGUGAAGUAAAUCUUAUCACUUAGAGGAAGGAGAAGUCGUAACA